rnacentral:rRNA from 1 species
UGGGGGAAUUUUGGACAAUGGGCGAAAGCCUGAUCCAGCAAUGCCGCGUGUGUGAAGAAGGCCUUCGGGUUGUAAAGCACUUUUGUCCGGAAAGAAAUCCUCUGGGUUAAUACCUCGGGGGGAUGACGGUACCGGAAGAAUAAGCACCGGCUAACUACGUGCCAGCAGCCGCGGUAAUACGUAGGGUGCAAGCGUUAAUCGGAAUUACUGGGCGUAAAGCGUGCGCAGGCGGUUUUGUAAGACGGAUGUGAAAUCCCCGGGCUUAACCUGGGAACUGCAUUCGUGACUGCAAGGCUAGAGUAUGGCAGAGGGGGGUUAGAAUUCCACGUGUAGCAGUGAAAUGCGUAGAGAUGUGGAGGAAUACCGAUGGCGAAGGCAGCCCCCUGGGCCAAUACUGACGCUCAUGCACGAAAGCGUGGGGAGCAAACAGGAUUAGAUACCCUGGUAGUCCACGCCCUAAACGAUGUCAACCUAGUUGUUGGGGAUUCAUUUCCUUAGUAACGUAGCUAACGCGUGAAGUUGACCGCCU